rnacentral:rRNA from 1 species
AGUGAACGCUGGCGGUAGGCCUAACACAUGCAAGUCGAACGGCAGCACAGUAAGAGCUUGCUCUUACGGGUGGCGAGUGGCGGACGGGUUAGGAAUACAUCGGAAUCUACUUUUUCGUGGGGGAUAACGUAGGGAAACUUACGCUAAUACCGCAUACGACCUACGGGUGAAAGCAGGGGAUCUUCUGACCUUGCGCGAUUGUAUGAGCCGAUGUCGGAUUAGCUAGUUGGCGGGGUAAAGGCCCACCAAGGCGACGAUCCGUAGCUGGUCUGAGAGGAUGAUCAGCCACACUGGAACUGAGACACGGUCCAGACUCCUACAGGAGGCAGCAGUGGGGAAUAUUGGACAAUGGGCGCAAGCCUGAUCCAGCCAUACCGCGUGGGUGAAGAAGGCCUUCGGGUUGUAAAGCCCUUUUGUUGGGAAAGAAAAGCAGCAGGUUAAUACCCCGCUGUUCUGACGGUACCCAAAGAAUAAGCACCGGCUAACUUCGUG